rnacentral:tRNA from 1 species
UGGCUCAAUGGUUAGAGCGUUUGACUUGUGAUCAACAGGUCGGGGUUUGAGCCUCG